GAAGUGCGAUAAGCAGUGCGAAUUGCAGAACCGUGAGUCAUCAGAUUUUUGAACGCAAAUGGCACCAGUUGGCUCUCCAACCGGUAUGCUUGUUUCAGUGUCUCGUUUUCUCCUCACCCAAAUCCUAAUGCUGGAGAUACCCUUCUCUUGCUAAGUCGGAAAGCACUCUGCACUCAGCAGGCACCUCGACUUGUCGAGGGUGCACUCAAUGCAGCAGUCACAUUUCGAUGUGAACUCAUUGAGAGUUGAGGCAGCGCAGUUCUCUGCCAGUGCUUAGUCAUUCAAACUCUACUUGUAUCUGAAAUCAAGCAGGAUCACCCGCUGAACUUAA
rnacentral:misc_RNA from 1 species